UUUUUUUUUUUUUUUUUUCAUUUUGGAAAAUUUAUAGUCCCCCUCAGCGGAGUUAGGACGCUGCGUUAUCCUCCGUAUUUAGAGGGGCGUUCAUGCUUGCGACACGUGGACGUCGUCUCGGCCUCUCCGGUGCUUUUUAUCGAACGCCACUCUAACCCCGCCCAGCCCUUCAGCGCCGCGCCGCCAACGUCUAAAGACCCAACGACUCCGCAAAUACCCUCCAAAAACUAAAAUCCAAACCAUGUCCCUCACUUUCUACCCGUCUCCUCUUUCGCUCCCCUCCGCUUCCUCUCUCCCUCAUGCGCACCCUACCCCUCCCCUCCUUCCUAUGUCUAUCCUACGCCGGCUGACUCCUCGCCACCUAUCCUUACACAUCAACGGCAACAGUAGACGGCGCGUUUCCUCAGUCGCCGCCGCUGUUCGACAGGAUACUUCUGUUUGGUCCCAAGCGCCUCUCUCCCAGAUCGAACCUGCUGCUGAGUCCCUCUUCAACGUUACUAUCGACGUUUCUGACUCUCCCGACCUCGCUACGUCCCACACUCGACCUGGCCAGUACCUCCAGCUUCGCAUCCCCGACGUUGAGAAGCCGUCUUUCCUUGCUAUCGCGUCACCGCCGUCUUAUGCUGCAGCGAAAGGCGCCUUUGAAUUCUUAGUGAAGAGCGUGGCCGGCUCGACUGCUGAGCUGUUGUGCGGUCUUAAGAAAGGAGAUGUGGUGGAAUUGAGCCAAGUCAUGGGCAGAGGUUUUGAAAUAGAUCGCAUCGUGCCGCCGGAGAAGUAUUCUACGGUUCUGAUUUUUGCCACUGGAUCUGGAAUCAGGUACGAACUUCUUAUUUGUUGUGUUCUGUUCAUGUAAAUACUGUAAAAAUGGAAGGUAGUAAUUUCGAAAGCCAAAAUUUUAACAAGAGAUGGCUUCAAAUGAGCCAAUUCACUAAAAUUUUGAUGAAAUUUUGAAUUCGAGAUUUUGAAUCGAGUGUUUAUUUAGGGACACAAUUGGAUAAAUGUUUCGAUCAUAAGCUUGCCAAGUUUAUGGAACUUCCUCCUCUGGCUUAAUUUUUUUUUUUUUUUAAAUGAUACUGAAGAGGAAAAUGUAGGAAUCAUUCAGUAGAAUUUUAGAGCAUUCAAAUGAAGUCAAGAGCUUAAGCAAUUAGGUGGCAACAGGCAAGGUGUAAAAAGUUGGUUCUAGCUAUCCUUUAAUAGGCAUUACUUUGGUUUACAUCUUGUAAAAUUUGUAGGGAAAACGGGCGGGCUUGUAAAAUGCAACUGGGGAUUAUGGAAAUUAUGAUAUCCAUCUUGUAGGAUUUAGUUUUGUAAUGGAAGACUCAUGGAGGUAUACGGGUGCCGUUAUGAAAAGCUGUAACCUUUUGUCAGAGCCUCAGAGGGUAGGCUUUAAUGCUUUGUCACUUCUUGCAGCAUAAUAUUGAUUAGCAAACUAAUGAUUAAUGUGGGGUUCUCAUUAGGACCUUCAAUGAUAUUCUCAUUAAUAUCUCCCUAGGUCCGCCUCAAUAACCAAGCUGCAAAAGUUUAUGAAAAGAAAAAGAAAUACUUUGCAUGUGGCUAAAAAAAAGGAAAAAAAAAACGCAGAAUCUUGUAGAGAGUCAGGAAGCUAGAGUAAAGAACUGGUAGUUUUUUUUAUUGUUAACCUUCUCAUUACCUAUCCUAAUUCAGUUUGAGGUAUAUAUGCAGAUGGAUAUCGUAACACAGGACCAUAGGUUUUUUUUCCCCUCUUCUCCCUUAGACCAUGAUUUUUUCCAUAUUAAUUGUACAGUUAAUACAGUGAAAAAGGGUCUUUAAUUUACAAGUUCAGUAAUAUAACGAAUCAUUUGACGUUUAAGUUGUUGCUUCUACUGGUUGGAUGUUAACAUCUUGUCAUAAUUAUGUAAUUUUUUCCUUUUAAAAAAAUUGCUCGCAAAACAGUUACGCUUAGGAGUUAUUUUAGUG
rnacentral:misc_RNA from 1 species